CGCCGAAUCCGGGUCCUGGAAGAGCAGCUCAAGUCACUGGGGGAACAGAUGGCAGCCGAGAGCCGGGGGCUGAGCCGGAAGAAGGAGGAGGCCCUUCAGGCCCUGUCACAGGAACGGAGCCGGCUGCUCGAGCUCAAUUGCCUUCAGGGAACACCUGGCGGGGACUUCUCUGAGCCCAACCCAGCCCUCACUAAGGUAUGGGGAUUUUGUAUGCCUCUCGGUCCCUCCUCCCUCAGACUGGAAAGUCCAGGCCCCAGCUCCUCCCUCAGACCCAGGAGUCCAGACCCUAGCCCCUCCUCCCUCAGAUCAGGGGUCCUGCCCUGAGCCCCCUCCUCCCUCAGACCCAGGAGUCCAGGCCCCAGCCCCUCCUCCCUCAGACCCAGGAGUCCAGGCCCCAGUCCCUCCUCCCUCAGACCCUGGAGUCCAGGCCCCCAGCCCCUCCUCCUUCAGACCCAGGAGUCCAGGCCCCCAGCCCCUCCUCCCUCAGACCCAGGAGUCCAGGCCCCAGCCCCUCCUCCCUCAGACCCAGGAGUCCAGGCCCCCAGCCCCUCCUCCCUCAGACCCAGGAGUCCAGGCCCCAGUCCCUCCUCCCUCAGACCCUGGAGUCCAGGCCCCCAGCCCCUCCUCCCUCAGACCCAGGAGUCCAGGCCCCCAGCCCCUCCUCCCUCAGACCCAGGAGUCCAGGCCCCCAGCCCCUCCUCCCUCAGACCCAGGAGUCCAGGCCCCCAGCCCCUCUUCCCUCAGACCCCGGAGUCCAGGCCCCCAGCCUUCCUCCCUCAGACCCAGGAGUCCAGGCCCCCAGCCUUCCUCCCUCAGACCCAGGAGUCCAGGCCCCCAGCCCCUCCUCAGGGAGCCAGCAGUCUCUGCCCACAGCCCUAUGCUGGGAGACUGGACACUAAGGACCACAUUCCAUCUCUCCUUAGUUUUUCUUUCUGAGAAAUGGGUGGCACUAGAGGCAUGGGCCAGAGCGUGUGGGAACUCAUGGUUGCUCUGGGGUCCCUCCUGCUCCCACGAACUUUUACCCCCUCUCCUGCAGCUGCUGUUCACCCAGAAGACAGACCACCAGCUACUGGUGCUCCAGGACCCCGCGGCCCACUCCGCUGCCACCCCUACUUCUUCUUGCCUCUUCUCUGUCCACAGCUCCCUGCAGGUACCUCCCCCACUGCCUCUGUUUCCCCAUAUGUCUUAUUGGUCAGCGGGGAGGGAGGGGCUAGGAGCAGAGUCCCCAAACUGGGGUCUCCAGAACUUCCACUCUGAUUUUCUAUACGGGGGUGGGGGGAUAGGAAAGGCUGGCCAAGAGGAUAUUCCUAUGACUCCAGCUUUAUUAUUAUUAUUUUUUUCUGCGUAACACCCACCCCUGCCCUGGUGAAAUGGGAACAUGUGCACCUAGGAGUAGACUUUAAAAGCAACCGAACAGUGUAUUUUAAUAAGAAGGUCUCCCCUUCUCAGAAGUAAUGCAGCUACUUGUGUUUUGAGAAUCCUUCUAGACUUCCUUAAAACUGUGGGGAUCGGGGGGCAGCUCAUUAACAGUUACAACAGACGGCCAGCACGGUGGCUCAUGCCUGUAAUCCCAGCACUUUGGGAGGGCAAGGUGGGCGGAUAGCCUGAGGUCAGGAGUUCGAGACCAGCCUGGCCAGGAUGGUGAAAUCCCAUCUCUACCAAAAAUACAAAAAUUAGCCCGGCAUGGUGAUGUGAGGCUGAGGCACGAGAAUUGAUUGAACCUGAGAAGGCAGAGGUUGCAGUGAGCCGAGAUUAGGCCACUGUACUCCAGCCUGGGCGACAGAGUGAGACUUUGUCUCAAAAAAAAAAAAAAAUCCCUAAUCUAAAAUGCUCGAAAAUCUGAAACUCUUUGAGUGCCUACAUGACGCUCCAAGGAAAUGCACAUUGGAGCAGUUUGGGUUUCAGAGUUUUAGGUUACAGAUGCUCAACCCAAAUAUUCCAAAAUCUGAAAGAAAAUCCCAAAUCUGAAACCUUUCUGGUCCCAAGUAUUUCCGAGAAGGGAUAUUCAACCCGUCCUUUUGAAAAAGAUGUGUAUUAGCUACUAGUUGGCUUUUCUUUUUAAAAAUGAUAUAUUUUGAACAUAUUUAUGGGGUACAUAUGAUGUUACAUGCAUAGAAUGCAUAAUAAGUCAGGGUAUUUGGGGUAUCCAUCUCAAGUAUUUAUCACUUCUGUAUGUUGAGAACAUUUCAAGUCCUCUUCUAGCAUUUUUUUUUUUUUUUUUGACAGAGUCUCACUCUGUUGCCCAGGCUGGAGUGCAAUGGUGGGAUCACAGCUCACUGCAGCCUCAACCUACCAGGCUCAGGUGAUCCUCCCUGAGUAGCUGGGACCACAGGCACGCACCAUGUACAACCACACACCACCUUGCACCACCACACACAACCACCCACCACCACGCACAACCACGCACCACCACACCUCAUCCACCACACACAGCCACGCAUCACCACGCACCGCCAUGCACCGCCACACACAACCAUGCACUGCCACACACAACCGCGCACCGCCACGCACCGCCAUGCACCGCCAUGCACCACCACGCACAACCACGCACAACCACGCACAAGCACGCACCACCAAGCACAGCUGAUUUUUGAAGUUAUUUUGGUACAGAUGAGGUCUCCCUAUGUUGCCCAAGCUGGUCUUGAACCCUUGGGCUCAAGUGGUCCUCCUGCUUUAGCCUCCCAAAUUGCUGGGGUUACAGGCAUGAGCCACCAUGCAUGGGCCCAAUUUGCAGCAAUAGGGUCUCACUGGCUUUUAUUUAUUUAUUUAUUUGUUUGAGACAGAGUUUCACUCUUGUUGAUCAGGCUGGAGUACAAUGAUGUGAUCUCAACUCACUGCAACCUCCGCCUCCUGGGUUCAAGUGAUUCUCCAGCCUCAGCCUCCUGAGUAGCUGGGAUUAUAGGCGUGUGCUACCACACCUGGCUAAUUUUUGUAUUUUUAAUAGAGAUGGGGUUUUGCCAUGUUGGCCAGGCUGGUCUUGAACUCCUGACCUCAGGUGAUCUGCCUGCCUUGGCCUCCCAAAGUGCUGGGAUUACAGGUGUGAUCCACUAUGCCUGGCCCACAGGUUUUUAUUUUUUGACUUAACUCUAUCUUGGAGAUUGUUUUAUAUUGAUAUAUUUAGAGUUGCCUCAUUUUUAAUGACUUUACAAUAAUAAUAAUAAUAUUAACAAAAGCAAUAAUAAUAACAAUGGUUUUAUUGAGUCAUUAUAGUGUGCAAGGCGUGGUUGCAAAUGCUUCAUGCUGAUUGGCUUACUGAUUUGUCUUUGCAACAAAUCUGUGAGCUAGGUUCUUGUUUCCAUGGCAAAAACACCAUGACAGAGAGGUUAAGUUGUUUAACCAGCUAGUAUGUGGAAGAGCUGGGAUUUGAACCCAGGAACUCUGUGUUCAGAACCUAGGUUCUUUUUCCCUU
rnacentral:lncRNA from 10 species